UGUCCUCCAUUGUUGCUGUCAGCAUAUCUAAUUGCGUCUGAUGCCUUUAAGGCGGCGUUGUGUAGAUUGGUCUUGAUUCUUCCUAUAUUCCUUGUCAAAAAGAUUGUCUUCUUGAACUGGCACAUGACCUCCGGCACCUGUGACAUCGACAGCGUCUCCUGCAGGUGGCAUUGCAAAUUCUUGCCUCGUUUUCUCAGACAGCACAAGAAAGAAAACCGCCCAUGUGCACCAUGCACAUCUAAACAAGUCGUCUCCGUGCUGCAUCAGUGUCCGACCUGGAGCGGCGAGCGCUCGCAGGAUUCCGAAGAUCCAGCAGGAGGAGCCAGGAUUGUUCCGGCAAUGUCCCUCUUCCAUCCUCAAAGUGCUGCUGUUGGCCACCGUUUAAAAAAAAAAAAAAAAACUCCUCCUCCAAAAAAAGUCUACAAAGUCUCUUUAAAAGAAAUAUUCUCCUUCCCAGUUUGUUUUCUUUUAGAGAGUUUUACGUUUUGUUCCCGUUACGAUGGGUCGAGCGAAUUCCACAAAGUCAUCUAUAAGCACUGGCCACGCCCCUUUAGGGAAAAAAAAAACGGAUCAGAUGAUAUAGUAAAAAAACAAGAUUUCAAAUCAAAUUUCCUCAUUGAAAUGCCAUUCAUCUGUUCUAAGUACCCUAUGCCACCAUGUUUGUUUAAAAAUAACAUUUUGUAAAACAUUAAAAUGUAAAAAUAUAAAGAAAAAAAAAUAUAUAGAUAACUUUCUUCAAGUAACCCCCCCAUAAAAGUAUUUUUGACCUACAUUUUAUAUAUUUUAAAAUGUAUGACUUUUACACACACAAAACAAAAUGUACCUUUUCCACUAAAACAGGCCAUUACUUUUCGUAUGAAAUCCUUCUAAAUGCUGGGAACCACAUCAAUAAAGCCUGAAUACAACCUCGCAAAACAAGAUUUCACAGAAUUUCAAAGUACUCAGGACAUACUAUUUCCCUUUAAUUCCAAAACAUGUAGGCUUUCCCAAUUAAAUAUAAACACUUUUUUUUGGGGGGUGGGGGGGGGAAAUCAACUCUUACCCUCCUCGUCAUAGUUGGACAAAUCAUCUGCUAUCAUGUUCCCAAAGUCCAACAGAAGGUUCCAUGUAUCUUUUGGGAUGGAGCGUUUAUGGUGUUCC